GACGAACGCUGGCGGCGUGCUUAACACAUGCAAGUCGAACGGAAAGGCCCUGCUUGCAGGGUACUCGAGUGGCGAACGGGUGAGUAACACGUGGGUGAUCUGCCCUGCACUUCGGGAUAAGCCUGGGAAACUGGGUCUAAUACCGGAUAGGAGCCAUUUUUAGUGUGAUGGUUGGAAAGUUUUUUCGGUGUAGGAUGAGCUCGCGGCCUAUCAGCUUGUUGGUGGGGUAAUGGCCUACCAAGGCGGCGACGGGUAGCCGGCCUGAGAGGGUGGACGGCCACAUUGGGACUGAGAGACGGCCCAGACUCCUACGGGAGGCAGCAGGGGGGAAGAUUGCACAAGGGGCGCAAGCCUGAUGCAGCGACGCCGCGUGGGGGAGGACGGCCUUCGGGUUGUAAACUCCGUUCGCUAGGGACGAAGCUUUUUGUGACGGUACCUAGAGAAGAAGCACCGGCUAACUACGUG
rnacentral:rRNA from 1 species